GAAAUGCGAUAAGUAAUGUGAAUUGCAGAAUUCAGUGAAUCAUCGAAUCUUUGAACGCACCUUGCGCUCCUUGGUAUUCCGAGGAGCAUGCCUGUUUGAGUGUCAUGGAAUUCUCAACUCUAUUUGCUUUUGUGAAUAGAGCUUGGAUUUGGAGGUUUAUUGCUGGUACUUGUGAUCGGCUCCUCUUGAAUGCAUUAGCUCGAACAUUUGCGGAUCAGCUAUCGGUGUGAUAAUUGUCUACGCCGUUGCAGUGAAUCAUAUCAAUGGGCUCGGCUUCCAAUCGUCCUUUACUGGACAAUGACUUUGACCUUUGACCUCAAAUCAGGUAGGAUUACCCGCUGAACUUAAGC
rnacentral:misc_RNA from 1 species